GGGUUGUGAGGUUAAGUGACUAAGCGUACACGGUGGAUGCCUAGGCAGUCAGAGGCGAUGAAGGGCGUGCUAAUCUGCGAAAAGCGUCGGUAAGGUGAUAUGAACCGUUAUAACCGGCGAUACCCGAAUGGGGAAACCCAGUGUGUUUCGACACACUAUCAUGUCAUGAAUACAUAGUGGCAUGAGGCGAACCGGGGGAACUGAAACAUCUAAGUACCCCGAGGAAAAGAAAUCAACCGAGAUUCCCCCAGUAGCGGCGAGCGAACGGGGAGGAGCCCAGAACCUGAAUCGGCUUGUGUGUUAGUGGAAGCGUCUGGAAAGUCGCGCAGCAAAGGGUGAUAGCCCCGUACACUAAAAUGCACAGGUCGUGAGUUCGAUGAGUAGGGCGGGACACGUGACAUCCUGUCUGAAUAUGGGGGACCAUCCUCCAAGGCUAAAUACUCCUGACUGACCGAUAGUGAACCAGUACCGUGAGGGAAAGGCGAAAAGAACCCCGGCGAGGGGAGUGAAAUAGAACCUGAAACCGUGUACGUACAAGCAGUGGGAGCACCUUCGUGGUGUGACUGCGUACCUUUUGUAUAAUGGGUCAGCGACUUAUAUUUUGUAGCAAGGUUAACCGUAUAGGGGAGCCGUAGGGAAACCGAGUCUUAACUGGGCGAAUAGUUGCAAGGUAUAGACCCGAAACCCGGUGAUCUAGCCAUGGGCAGGUUGAAGGUUGGGUAACACUAACUGGAGGACCGAACCGACUAAUGUUGAAAAAUUAGCGGAUGACUUGUGGCUGGGGGUGAAAGGCCAAUCAAACCGGGAGAUAGCUGGUUCUCCCCGAAAGCUAUUUAGGUAGCGCCUCGUGAACUCAUCUUCGGGGUAGAGCACUGUUUCGGCUAGGGGGCCAUCCCGGCUUACCAAACCGAUGCAAACUCCGAAUACCGAAGAAUGUUAUCACGGGAGACACACGGCGGGUGCUAACGUCCGUCGUGAAGAGGGAAACAACCCAGACCGCCAGCUAAGGUCCCAAAGUCAUGGUUAAGUGGGAAACGAUGUGGGAAGGCAUAGACAGCCAGGAUGUUGGCUUAGAAGCAGCCAUCAUUUAAAGAAAGCGUAAUAGCUCACUGGUCGAGUCGGCCUGCGCGGAAGAUGUAACGGGGCUAAACCAUGCACCGAAGCUGCGGCAGCGACGCUUAGGCGUUGUUGGGUAGGGGAGCGUUCUGUAAGCCGUUGAAGGUGGCCUGUGAGGGUUGCUGGAGGUAUCAGAAGUGCGAAUGCUGACAUAAGUAACGAUAAAGCGGGUGAAAAGCCCGCUCGCCGGAAGACCAAGGGUUCCUGUCCAACGUUAAUCGGGGCAGGGUGAGUCGACCCCUAAGGCGAGGCUGAAAAGCGUAGUCGAUGGGAAACAGGUUAAUAUUCCUGUACUUGGUGUUACUGCGAAGGGGGGACGGAGAAGGCUAGGCUAGCCGGGCGACGGUUGUCCCGGUUUAAGCGUGUAGGGGGUGUGACCUGGUAAAUCCGGUUGCAUACUAACCCUGAGGCGUGAUGACGAUGCACUACGGUGCAGAAGUAGUUGAUGCCCUGCUUCCAGGAAAAUCCUCUAAGCUCCAGGUAACAUUAAAUCGUACCCCAAACCGACACAGGUGGUCAGGUAGAGAAUACCAAGGCGCUUGAGAGAACUCGGGUGAAGGAACUAGGCAAAAUGGUGCCGUAACUUCGGGAGAAGGCACGCUGGCAUGUAGGUGAAGUCCCUCGCGGAUGGAGCUGAAGCCAGUCGAAGAUACCAGCUGGCUGCAACUGUUUAAUAAAAACACAGCACUGUGCAAACACGAAAGUGGACGUAUACGGUGUGACGCCUGCCCGGUGCUGGAAGGUUAAUUGAUGGGGUCAGCCGCAAGGCGAAGCUCUUGAUCGAAGCCCCAGUAAACGGCGGCCGUAACUAUAACGGUCCUAAGGUAGCGAAAUUCCUUGUCGGGUAAGUUCCGACCUGCACGAAUGGCGUAAUGAUGGCCAGGCUGUCUCCACCCGAGACUCAGUGAAAUUGAACUCGCUGUGAAGAUGCAGUGUACCCGCGGCAAGACGGAAAGACCCCGUGAACCUUUACUAUAGCUUGACACUGAACAUUGAGCCUUGAUGUGUAGGAUAGGUGGGAGGCUUUGAAGCGUGGACGCCAGUCUGCGUGGAGCCAUCCUUGAAAUACCACCCUUUAAUGUUUGAUGUUCUAACUCGGCCCCGUGAUCCGGGGUGAGGACAGUGUCUGGUGGGUAGUUUGACUGGGGCGGUCUCCUCCCAAAGAGUAACGGAGGAGCACGAAGGUUAGCUAAUCACGGUCGGACAUCGUGAGGUUAGUGCAAAGGCAUAAGCUAGCUUGACUGCGAGAGUGACGGCUCGAGCAGGUACGAAAGUAGGUCUUAGUGAUCCGGUGGUUCUGAAUGGAAGGGCCAUCGCUCAACGGAUAAAAGGUACUCCGGGGAUAACAGGCUGAUACCGCCCAAGAGUUCAUAUCGACGGCGGUGUUUGGCACCUCGAUGUCGGCUCAUCACAUCCUGGGGCUGAAGUAGGUCCCAAGGGUAUGGCUGUUCGCCAUUUAAAGUGGUACGCGAGCUGGGUUUAGAACGUCGUGAGACAGUUCGGUCCCUAUCUGCCGUGGGCGUUGGAAGAUUGAGAGGGGUUGCUCCUAGUACGAGAGGACCGGAGUGAACGCACCACUGGUGUUCGGGUUGUCAUGCCAAUGGCAUUGCCCGGUAGCUAAGUGCGGAAAAGAUAAGCGCUGAAAGCAUCUAAGCGCGAAACUUGCCUCAAGAUGAGUCUUCCCUGGGCCUUUAAGGCCCCUGAAGGAACGUUUAAGACUAAGACGUUGAUAGGCUGGGUGUGUAAGUGCAGCGAUGCAUUGAGCUAACCAGUACUAAUGAUCCGUGAGGCUUAACCUUACAACACCGAAGGUGUUUUAG
rnacentral:rRNA from 1 species